rnacentral:rRNA from 1 species
CCUACGGGGGGCUGCAGUGGGGAAUUUUGGACAAUGGGCGCAAGCCUGAUCCAGCAAUGCCGCGUGCAGGAUGAAGGCCUUCGGGUUGUAAACUGCUUUUGUACGGAACGAAACAGCUCUUUCUAAUACAGAGGGCGAAUGACGGUACCGUAAGAAUAAGCACCGGCUAACUACGUGCCAGCAGCCGCGGUAAUACGUAGGGUGCGAGCGUUAAUCGGGAUUACUGAGGGGAAGGUGUGCGACAGCGGUGAAAUCCCCGGGCUCAACCUGGGACCUGCAUUUGUGACUGCAUCGCUGGAGUACGGCAGAGGGGGAUGGAAUUCCGCGUGUAGCAGUGAAAUGCGUAGAUAUGCGGAGGAACACCGAUGGCGAAGGCAAUCCCCUGGGCCUGUACUGACGCUCAUGCACGAAAGCGUGGGGAGCAAACAGGAUUAGAUACCCCGGUAGUC